GAUGAACGCUGGCGGCGUGCCUAAUACAUGCAAGUCGAGCGAACAGACGAGGAGCUUGCUCCUCUGACGUUAGCGGCGGACGGGUGAGUAACACGUGGAUAACCUACCUAUAAGACUGGGAUAACUUCGGGAAACCGGAGCUAAUACCGGAUAAUAUAUUGAACCGCAUGGUUCAAUAGUGAAAGACGGUUUUGCUGUCACUUAUAGAUGGAUCCGCGCCGCAUUAGCUAGUUGGUAAGGUAACGGCUUACCAAGGCAACGAUGCGUAGCCGACCUGAGAGGGGGAUCGGCCACACUGGAACUGAGACACGGUCCAGACUCCUACGGGAGGCAGCAGUAGGGAAGCUUCCGCAAUGGGCGAAAGCCUGACGGAGCAACGCCGCGUGAGUGAUGAAGGUCUGCGGAUCGUAAGACUCUGUUAUUAGGGAAGAACAAAUGUGUAAGUAACUAUGCACGUCGUGACGGUACCUAAUCAGAAAGCCACGGCUAACUACGUG
rnacentral:rRNA from 1 species